GCGCAUCUGGUGUAGUGGUAUCAUAGUACCCUCCCACGGUACUGGUGUAGUGGAUGCGCA
rnacentral:tRNA from 1 species